GCUGCCCGCCCCCAUGCUGCAGCUGCAAGAUGGUUCCUUCCUUUCUCCUCUGCACGCUGCCUGGAGAGAUGGCGGCUUCUUUUCUGCACACGGAUAUUGUGCAGCACGUCUUUCAGUUUUUGAGAACAUUUCUGAUUUCCUGAGAAAGUCUCGAGUGUGCAGAGCAGAGCUGAAGUGGAGACCCGUAUCUGCCAUCCUUCCCGUGUUUGGCAGCCCCUUGGUGGCUUCUCUCAUUUGUUCCAUUUCCCACUGCUCUCCUGUCCCUAUUUUCUGAAUUUUUGGUAAGGUCUGUGCCAUGAGCAGCCUCAUUGGUUUUCUCUAUAUAUCUUUAUUUCACUUAUCCACUUGUAAAAAAGCCGUGAUUCUCUUGUCUAUGGACAGACAACAAACUCAUUCUUUGAGGCUCAACCCAGAAGCCAUCUUCUAUUGAAAUCCUUCCCACACAAGUCAAAUGCUUCCCUGGAACUCCUCCAGCAUGACUGUUGGAACCGUUUCUGUGGCAGCCAUAAAAGCUGUCACUACCAAAAUGGGUUCACUUAUGUGAAAACCCAAACAAAUGGAAUCAGGAGGUCACCCAUGGAGGCUCUUCAUGAAGUUGCUUGAUAAUAGGACCUAUUCAAGAGAUUCUACCUGAGAACUGCCCUACACAGAGAACCAAGACCUUGCACUAAGGCAGUCACUAUGAGGACAUCUGCUUAGCAACGGCCUAUUCACCUUGGAUGGAUGCCGCCUUUGUUAUGAGUCCUUGUCACCAAGGAUUAUUGUUCCAAACAACUUAUGUAAUCCUCUGUAUUUUGCUUUUACAAACCUUUUCUUUCCUUUUCCUCCCUGGGUACACCAUGUCUCCACCAUGGCUCACCAUGACAUUUGUACCUGGAUUUGCAAAACCCUACCUUAUUCCUGAAUGAACUCAUUUUUUCUUUUGAGUCUCCCUGUUUGUUAUUUAGGUUAAACCAUCAUUCUCUCUUCCUUAUUGUUAGGACCAUUUGUGCACACCUAGUUUUCCCUACCAAUCUGUGAGCUCCUGGAAGGAGGAGACUACCUCCUCAAACACUCUUGAAUAGAGAGGUCAGUACCCAGUACAAAAUAAGAGAUUGGUUAUUUCUUAUUGAGUGCAUGAAUAUAGUCCCUAAGGAGUUAUGCACUGACACGAGCAAAUUGCAGUCUCUCUGCAUCUCUAUCUCUGACCUGGGGCUCCAGAGGUAGCGUACCUGGCAUGGCAGUAGAAAUUAUGGACUCUCCCUCUCCCUUGACUAGGUUAAACUGGCCAGAGGCUUGUCAACAAGAGCCCUGAUGAAAUGAAGCCACAUCCUUUUAUGAGCACUUGGCAGUAUAUGACGGUUUCAGUUCUGAUCCAACCUCCAAGACAGCCCACAUGUCUGCUCUUCUAGGACCUGCAUCCUGUGUGCAAAGGCAAUUGUGGCAUAAUGGGAAGAGUGCUGAACGGGGACUAAGAGGACACAGUUCUUCUUGCUGGAAAGUAGACAAGAUAUCUGGAACUUCAGGAACCAUCUUAUGACUUUGAGACAGGACGGGAUGCACUUGGUAUAGUAUCGAACUUAGUUGUGUUACCCUUCAAGCCCUGAACUGCUUACUUUUGUAUUUCAUUUUGUAUGAAAGAAUAGCACUUGAUAUGUUCAAGCUACUGUCAUCUGGUUUCUAUUAUUGGUAGCUAGAUGUAAUUCCUAGCUUAUUCAGCUCUGGCUUUUGGAAAUUUUAUUAUAAGCUAAUUCAGUUGAGCUCUCUUUCCACCCAGGAAGGACUCUUACAUCUGUGUUACUGUAAGCUUGGGAGCUCCAUGAGAAGAGGGAAUGUGACUAUUCUGUUCACUCAUGUUUCCUCAGUGCCUAGCACACUGCCUGACACUUGGCAGAUGGCUCAGUAAAUACUUGAUGUGUGAAUGAAUGAAUAAUACAGCAUACUUUCUUCAAAUGGAGGUCAUAAAAUAUCCAACAGAAUCAGCAACUAUACAAUUAUUGGGCAGCCAAUGUUUCAAUGAUUAACUGAAGAUUCUGCUUACCUGAGAGCCUGUAUAUGAUUACAAAUCUGCAUGAAAUAAGAAAAAAUAAUAUUUUUCAAUAGUUUGAUGUGUGAUAUUCAUAAGCAAUUUCAUUAAUAUAAACUUUAGCUGUAGUAAUAAUGCUUCUUUACUAUGUCUUAGUUUGAGAACACUUUUCACAUCAACUCAUUGAUACCUGACAGCUUGGUGGUGGGAUAGUAGGAACUUUU